rnacentral:ncRNA from 1 species
AAGAAGGUGGUGUGAGAAAAUCACUGGCUUGUGGUGGACGAGCUUUCAUAGUGAUGUCACUUUCUGAUCCUUUAACAUUGGCUCUUCCCACCUCUGCAGCAGUGCAGCACAAUUCACCCAUGUUCCUGCACGAAUAGGAACAUGAGCCUUUUAGACCACUGCGAGACUGGUUAAUUUUCUCCUGCUGAUGAUCUGCUGCUGGAUACUGAUCCUGUUCAGUACGAGUGAAACUGCAGGUUCAGACACUGGGUGUCUGUACUUGGCUGAGGAGUCAAAAGUUCGAAGCUGCCAUUUGUGGGGAUUAGGACUGCAUGCCUCUUAAUCAGUAUACCCCUCAAAAGUAUGUUGAUAGCUCCUC